rnacentral:rRNA from 1 species
AACGCCGGGAAACUCACCAGAUAAGACAGCUGAAUGAUAGUCGGGCUGAAGACUCUACUUGACUAGCUGAGAGGAGGUGCAUGGCCGUCGUCAGUUCGUACUGUGAAGCAUCCUGUUAAGUCAGGCAACGAGCGAGACCCACGCCAACAGUUGCCAGCAUGUCCUCCGGGAUGAUGGGGACACUGUUGGGACCGCCUCUGCUAAAGAGGAGGAAGGAAUGGGCAACGGUAGGUCAGCAUGCCCCGAAUUAUCCGGGCUACACGCGGGCUACAAUGGUCAGGACAAUGGGUAUCAACACCGAAAGGUGAAGGCAAUCUCCUAAACCUGUCCUUAGUUCGGAUUGUGGGCUGCAACUCGCCCACAUGAAGCUGGAAUCUGUAGUAAUCGCGUCUCAAAAUGGCGCGGUGAAUAUGUCCCUGCUCCUU